CCUACGGGAGGCAGCAGUGAGGAAUAUUGGUCAAUGGACGAGAGUCUGAACCAGCCAAGUAGCGUGAAGGAUGACUGCCCUAUGGGUUGUAAACUUCUUUUAUAUGGGAAUAAAACGUUCAACGUGUGGGAUUUUGUAUGUACCAUAUGAAUAAGGAUCGGCUAACUCCGGGCCAGCAGCCGCGGUAAUACGGAGGAUCCGAGCGUUAUCCGGAUUUAUUGGGUUUAAAGGGAGCGUAGGUGGAUUGUUAAGUCAGUUGUGAAAGUUUGCGGCUCAACCGUAAAAUUGCAGUUGAAACUGGCAGUCUUGAGUACAGUAGAGGUGGGCGGAAUUCGUGGUGUAGCGGUGAAAUGCUUAGAUAUCACGAAGAACUCCGAUUGCGAAGGCAGUUCACUGGACUGCAACUGACACUGAGGCUCGAAAGUGUGGGUAUCAAACAGGAUUAGAUACCCCAGUAGUC
rnacentral:rRNA from 1 species